UGUUUCAAGUUGGAGUUAUCCAAAUUACGAGUGUUUUGAAUGCAUCAUAUUCGAAUUUACAAAGCGCACUCGGGAGCAGAAAGUGCGGGAGCCGUGAGGUCUAUCCAGGAGAGGACGCAACGGGGAGGCAGCGCAGUGUGUGAACGUGAGUGAGAGGGCGCGCCGCUGUGAAGCCAGAAGAGAAAAGAAAUCUGGUGGUGGCAGAAACGAUUGAACUCAUUAAAGAGUAUCAUUCUGCUGCUGAGCUGCACAAAUUGCUAAACACCAAAUAGG